AAGUGAUUCUGAAGCAAUGUUAAUCCAACAACAUGCACAACACUAGCUGCUGUUGCUCUGUGAAUCUUCAACUUUUGGACUUGCUCGCGGGACAAAAUCAUGCAAAAUUUUGGCAAUUCAGGAGGAGCGAUUUUCUUCGUUUAUAAAGUAAAAGGGUAAAUGGAUGUUCCUUAGGUGUUUAUUUCAAAGCUUGAACAAUGGGGUCCACCUCUCAAAGAUGAACUUGUUCCCAUUUAAUAGUCGAGAAUUCUUGAUGGUAUCGAGUUGGAACAAUCUAUUAUUCCUGAGUACCUAGAUUUAGUGCCAAAGAAUUUU